GACGAACGCUGGCGGCGUGCCUAAUACAUGCAAGUAGAACGCACAGUUUAUACCGUAGCUUGCUACACCAUAGACUGUGAGUUGCGAACGGGUGAGUAACGCGUAGGUAACCUGCCUGGUAGCGGGGGAUAACUAUUGGAAACGAUAGCUAAUACCGCAUAAUAUUGAUUAUUGCAUGAUAAUUGAUUGAAAGAUGCUAUUGCAUCACUACCAGAUGGACCUGCGUUGUAUUAGCUAGUAGGUGAGGUAACGGCUCACCUAGGCGACGAUACAUAGCCGACCGGAGAGGGUGAUCGGCCACACUGGGACUGAGACACGGCCCAGACUCCUACGGGAGGCAGCAGUAGGGAAUCUUCGGCAAUGGACGAAAGUCUGACCGAGCAACGCCGCGUGAGUGAAGAAGGUUUUCGGAUCGGAAAGCUCUGUUGUAAGAGAAGAACGGGUGUGAGAGUGGAAAGUUCACACUGUGACGGUAUCUGAACAGAAAGGGACGGCUAACUACGUG
rnacentral:rRNA from 1 species